UACGUAGGCAGCGAGCGUUGUUCGGAGUUACUGGGCGUAAAGGGUGUGUAGGCGGUUGUUUAAGUUUGGUGUGAAAUCUCCCGGCUCAACUGGGAGGGUGCGCCGAAUACUGAAUAACUAGAGUGCGGGAGAGGAAAGUGGAAUUCCUGGUGUAGCGGUGAAAUGCGUAGAUAUCAGGAGGAACACCGGUGGUGUAGACGGCUUUCUG
rnacentral:rRNA from 1 species